GAUCCGGUCGCCAAGUGGUUAAGGCAAGAGCCAUACAUGCUCUCAUCGUAGGUUCAAAUCCUACCCGGAUCU
rnacentral:tRNA from 1 species